GAUUCAUAAUAAUAAUAUGUAGGUAUACUAUUCUCAAUAUGGUUACUGGGUGUAAAAGAUAAAUCUUAUUCUAUCUGUUCUUCAUGAGUUUUAGAUAAUUUUAGUUGUAUUUCUUUGUAAUUUUGUGUUGUACAAAGAUUAAUUUAACAUUUUCUCUGGAAGUAUUAAUUUAGAAAGAUAAUAUGCUUCAUUGGUGUUGUGUUUUGAAGUGUGAAAUGCAAAGUAAUUGUGAUAAAGUCAAGAUAAAGUUCACUUUUAAACUGAACUAAAUAAGGUAUCUGAGAGACAACAAUGGUUAAAUGCAAUACAAUGUACAGGUUUUACUAGCGAAAUGAAAAUUUUCCUGUCCUGUCUGCUGUAAUCAUUUUAUAUCUGGAAAAUAGGAAAACCAGCCGACUUAAUCGAUAAUAACAAUCUCCAGAUUGGGUUCCUUCAAUAAAUAUGGGCUAUAAACACAAUGAAAUAAGUUCCCCAAAAUCUAAAAUGGAGUGGUAUCAAAGGAGAAUUAAAGGAAAAAAUAUUCAUAUUGAAAUUAUUUAUAAGGCACUGGACUGUCUUAAAUUCUACAAUAAUACUAGGUGGGUAAAUGAUUUUAGACAUUUUUCAUUAAGAGUAGAUUAAGAUUAAGUAGAUUUUCAUUCAGUAGAUUUAAGACUUGUUUACACGGGUAGAGUAAUGAUGCAAGUACUUGAUAGAGUAGAGUAACUCUACCUGUAAAAAUGCUCAGCACAGUAGAAUAGCUGGUAGAGUGUAUAGUUGGAGUUAAAGUAGAGUGACUAGCAACCUAUGGCAAAGUAACUACUCUAUGACCACCACUACUGCCAAAAUGUCUACUCAGCUGCACACUCUACCCAUGGAACACGCUCAAUUACGGCAGAAUAGAGUAGGUAGGAGAGUACAUGGGGGCGCUGUCAUUCUGGCUGGAAUUGUGUUUUGUGUAAAUAGUGAAAAUGAAGUUCACCGAAGAUGAAACUUUAAAACUUGUAGAGCUAUAAUACGGCGAAUACCAGUGUUUAUGGAAUUUAGGUAGUGUAUACUACAGAAAUAAAAGUUUGCAGCAAGCUGCGCAGGAUGAAAUCGUCGAAAGAAUGGCAAAGG
rnacentral:lncRNA from 1 species